AACGAACGCUGGCGGCAUGCCUAACACAUGCAAGUCGAACGAGACCUUCGGGUCUAGUGGCGCACGGGUGCGUACCGCGUGGGAACCUGCCCUUAGGUUAGGAAUAACUCCCCGAAAGGGGUGCUAAUACCGGAUAAUGUCUUCGGACCAAAGAUUUAUCGCCGUUGGAUGGGCCCGCGUUGGAUUAGCUAGUUGGUAGGGUAAAAGCCUACCAAGGCGACGAUCCAUAGCUGGUCUGAGAGGAUGCUCAGCCACACUGGGACUGAGACACGGCCCAGACUCCUACGCGAGGGAGCAGUGGAGAAUAUAGUACAAUGGGCGCAAGCCUGACCCAGCAACGCCGCGUGAGUGAUGAAGGCGUUAGGGUUGUAAAGCUCUUUUACCCGGGAUGAUAAUGACAGUACCGGGAGAAUAAGCACCGGCUAACUCCGUG
rnacentral:rRNA from 1 species